UUAGAGGCAACGGGAAGAACCUUACCAGGUCUUAACAUCGUGUGACAACCCUAGAGAUAGGGCUUCCCCUUGGGGGGCAGAGUGACAGGUGGUGCAUGGUUGUCGUCAGCUCGUGAAAGAGAAGAAGUUGGGUUAAGUCCCGCAACGAGCGCAACCCUUGAUCUUAGUUGCCAGCAUUCAGUUGGGCACUCUAAGGUGACUGCCGGUGACAAACCGGAGGAAGGUGGGGAUGACGUCAAAUCAUCAUGCCCCUUAUGACCUGGGCUACACACGUGCUACAAUGGGCAGAACAAAGGGCAGCGAAGCCGCGAGGCUAAGCCAAUCCCACAAAUCUGUUCUCAGUUCGGAUCGCAGUCUGCAACUCGACUGCGUGAAGCUGGAAUCGCUAGUAAUCGCGGAUCAGCAUGCCGCGGUGAAUACGUUCCCGGGCCUUGUACACACCGCCCGUCACACCAGGAGAGUUUGUAACACCCGAAGUCGGUGAGGUAACCUUUGGAGCCAGCCGCCGAAGUGAGCAAU
rnacentral:rRNA from 1 species